GCGCACAGCACAGCGAUACCAACAACAUCCACCGCGCAGCGACCGCAGCACGUAUGUAAGGAGUAGGCAGCACUCACCGUGGAUCGGCGGUACCUUGCCCUCUCGUACUCACACACAGCACCGUUCUCGCUCGCGGUUCGACCGUCCGCCGUCCCAUCGAGCAGCGCGCCGUGCUUCACCGCUGCAGGCCCCGGUCGACGGGGUUUAGUCGGAGAAAAAAUCGAGCGCCGAAUAGUAGGAAGAUUCCUCUUCUCUUCUUUUCGCCAAGUGUGUCGUCUGUCUGCGGUGACCGCGAGUCCUAGAAAUCCGUGUGUCCGAUCCGGUGUGCGUGGUCGACGGGUCUCGGCGUUCUGUCCUGUGUCCUGUCAACGAGUCCUGUGCUCUGUCUGUGCCUGCGUACCGUACGCGUGUCUUGUCCCAUCGCCGACCUUUGCCGUACCCGUGCGACCGUCCGUGUGGGAGUGCGAGAAAAGCUGGAAAAGCCACCCUCCCAGUGCUGUGCGGGAAAAUUGCGACCAAUCCCUGUGCGAAUUGCGCGAUUUUUCAUGCCGGUUCAGCCGCGACGAUUACGGCGACGCGCGUCCGAAAGUGUGGUGCGUUGAGUGUUGUGUCCGUGCUCUGCGACGUCGACGUUUCGUUCCUCAGCUAUCCUGAUCUCAGCCAGCCAGUUCCGGGUGGGCAUACUCCUUCGACGAAAGCGACGACCAAACGCGAAUCCUUGCUGCCGUCGUUGUUUUGUUUUGGGUUUGCCCGGUGGAAAGGAAAGGAAAAAACGUAGAAAGGAGAGAUCUCACGGUGGUUACCAACAGCGGAAAUAUUGUCGCCUAUCAGAAGCGGGUGUUCCUCGAAAGCAGAGUUCUAGAGGAAAAUAAGAAGAAAAAGUUGCUACCUGAGUAAAAAGUCUUAUCGCUACCGAAUAAUCGAAGAGCACUGUUGUUGCAAGUCAGUCAGCCAAAAGCCGAAUUCAAGCUGAAGAGAAGUGAAUUGUGAAAUCCUGAAAAUAGUUUCAAAGGGUCGCCCGAGCUGCAGAGCCGAGAGCAGAGUCAAGUGGUUAUAUUAACUAACAACAGCUCUGCACACGCCCACAAAGCAACAGCGCGAAAGCAAUAACAACAACCCACCCAGCGCCACCACCUUCGAAAAGGGAAGAAAAAUCGCAGCAACCACCAUCAUGAGCGACAGGGAUCGAGCAUCGCCAACUUUGAUCGAGUCCGGAUUAAAGACGCUGAUAGGAGGCCGCGAUAGCAACUAUCCCCUGAUAAGCGGGACAAAUGGUAAUGUUCAUCAAAUCAACAAGUAUUAUAGGAAUUUUGGGUUAUAUUUCCAAGUUUCGUAAGUUGCUAUAAAUAUAUAAUUUUUUGAAUGAAUUAUUACAUUUGUCUUGAAGAUAGUAGAGUUAUCUAUUGUUUAUAUGAGAAAAAAAAAAUUAAAAUCA